rnacentral:rRNA from 1 species
AACGAACGCUGGCGGCGCGCCUAAUACAUGCAAGUCGAGCGAGAAGACGUAGCAGUACGUUUGUAAAGCGGCGAACGGGUGAGGAAUACAUGGGUAACCUACCCUAGAGUGGGGAAUAACUAGCCGAAAGGUUAGCUAAUACCGCGUACGCUCCUUGGACUUCGGUACAGGGAGGAAAGCGAUACCGUGGGUAUCGCGCUCUUGGAUGGGCUCAUGUCCUAUCAGCUUGUUGGUGAGGAACGGCUCACCAAGGCUUCGACGGGUAGCUGGUCUGAGAGGACGAUCAGCCACACUGGCACUGCGACACGGGCCAGACUCCUACGGGAGCAGCAGUAAGGAAUAUUGCGCAAUGGGCGAAAGCCUGACGCAGCGACGCCGCGUGGGGGAUGAAGGUCUUCGGAUUGUAAACCCC